GCGCCCAUAGCUCAGUUGGUAGAGCAACCGCCUCUUAAGCGGUGGGUCCAUGGUUCGAAUCCAUGUGGGCGCACCA
rnacentral:tRNA from 1 species